GGGACCUUUUUAGGCUUAAAAGAUUUUUUUUUCUUUGCUUUGGCCCAAUUUUAGGAUUUUUGGAAAUCUUCAUCAUCUUCAUUGGUAAUACGAACUGAGGGCCAAAACAACCGGUGAAGGGGGGUUUCGAACUAGUUGGAUGAUGUUUUUGUAGUAGUGGUCCAUCAAGUCUACAGGUUCAGGUGGCUCCAACGGCACAACAAGCCACCUUCCAUCAAUGAACUGCUAGUACAAUUUGAGAGUAGCAAUGAUGAUGACGAUUCUCCAAUAUUAUGAUUGAAAAGUUUUAGUUGCCAAAACUAAGGGAAAACAAUAGGUGACUAGAGG
rnacentral:lncRNA from 1 species